CUCAGGCCCUCCAUACACAAAACCAUAGCCUCACCCUUCUUACCUCCAUCUAUAAAUACACCGUCAUGUAAAGCUUCGGAGACAUAGCAAUCCAUUGCAAUCUAUAACAACUUUACAAACUCAAAAAAACCUUCAGUUCUCAGUUCUCACGUUCAAAAAUUUUCCUAGUUCACCAUGUCUGACAAGUGCGGCAACUGCGACAGCGCUGACAAGAGCCAGUGCGUGAAGAAGGGAAACACCUUGGUCAUUCAGAAUGAGAAGAGCUACAUCAACAUUAUUGUCGUUGAGGUUCCAGCGCUGAGAAUGAUGGCAAGUGCAAGUGCGGAGCUAGCCGCAGCUGCACAAACUGCACGCGGUGGUCAUUAAGCAAACAUAAAAUAAUAAUGUUGUACUUUAUGGCAAUAUUAUGACCUAAAAAAUAAUGAAAUUUGGGUUGAAUGAU